GGCCACAUAGCGCAGUGGUUAAGCGCUUAACAGGCAUUAAUAUAAAAUAUUAAUGUAAUAGGUUCAAAUUUUAUUGUGGUUU